CCUACGGGUGGCUGCAGUGGGGGAUAUUGCACAAUGGGGGGAACCCUGAUGCAGCGACGCCGCGUGGGUGAUGAAGUGUUUCGGCGCGUAAAGCUCUAUCAGCAGGGAAGAAGAUGACGGUACCUGACCAAGAAGCCCCGGCUAACUACGUGCCAGCAGCCGCGGUAAUACGUAGGGGGCAAGCGUUAUCCGGAUUUACUGGGUGUAAAGGGGGCGCAGACGGCGGUGCAAGCCAGGUGUGAAAGUCCGGGGCUCAACCCCGGGACUGCUUUUGGAACUGCAUGGCUGGAGUGCAGGAGAGGCAGGCGGAAUUCCUAGUGUAGCGGUGAAAUGCGUAGAUAUUAGGAGGAACACCAGUGGCGAAGGCGGCCUGCUGGACGAUGACUGACGUUGAGGCCCGAAGGCGUGGGGAGCAAACAGGAUUAGAUACCCGUGUAGUC
rnacentral:rRNA from 1 species